CCUACGGGAGGCAGCAGUGAGGCAUAUUGGUCAAUGGUCGGGAGACUGAACCAGCCAAGCCGCGUGAGGGAGGAAGGUACAGAGUAUCGUAAACCUCUUUUGUCAGGGAACAAAGGCGGGGACGUGUCCCCGGAUGAGUGUACCUGAAGAAAAAGCAUCGGCUAACUCCGUGCCAGCAGCCGCGGUAAUACGGAGGAUGCGAGCGUUAUCCGGAUUUAUUGGGUUUAAAGGGUGCGCAGGCGGUCUGUUAAGUCAGCGGUAAAAGCCCGGGGAUCAACCCCGCCCCGCCGUUGAAACUGGCAGUCUCGAGUUGGAGAGAAGUAUGCGGAAUGCGCGGUGGAGCGGUGAAAUGCAUAGAUAUCGCGCAGAACUCCGAUUGCGAAGGCAGCAUGCCGGCUCCACACUGACGCUGAGGCACGAAAGCGUGGGUAUCGAACAGGAUUAGAUACCCUGGUAGUC
rnacentral:rRNA from 1 species